UACGUAGGGUGCAAGCGUUAAUCGGAAUUACUGGGCGUAAAGCGUGCGCAGGCGGUGAUGUAAGACAGUUGUGAAAUCCCCGGGCUCAACCUGGGAACUGCACCUGUGACUGCAUCGCUGGAGUGCGGCAGAGGGGGGUGGAAUUCCGCGUGUAGCAGUGAAAUGCGUAGAUAUGCGGAGGAACACCGAUGGCGAAGGCAAUCCCCUGGGCCUGCACUGACGCUCAUGCACGAAAGCGUGGGGAGCAAACAGG
rnacentral:rRNA from 1 species